rnacentral:rRNA from 1 species
GACGAACGCUGGCGGCGUGCUUAACACAUGCAAGUCGAACGAAGUGGCGAACGGGUGAGUAACGCGUAAUCAACCUGCUCUUCAGAGGGGGACAACAGUUGGAAACGACUGCUAAUCCCGCAUACUGAAGGAGGGGUUUGCGUCGGAUUAGCUCGUUGGAGGGGUAACGGCCCACCAAGGCGAUGAUCAGUAGCCGGUCUGAGAGGAAGGACGGCCACAUGGGGACUGGGACAAGGCCCAGAAUUCUAAGGGAGGCAGCAGUGGGGAAUCUUCCGAAAUGGAGGAAAGGCUGACGGAGGAAAGCCGCGGGGGAGAUGAAGGGCUUCGGGGUGGAAAGCUCUGUUAAUCGGGACGCGGUACCGGAAGAGAAAGCCACGGCUAACUACGUGCCAGCAGCCGCGGUAAUUC